rfam:Myotis lucifugus cont2.20753, whole genome shotgun sequence.
GGCGGUUCUCAGGUGACACACCCUGGAAUCGGGCUCCUUUCUCUGGUUCUGGGUGUGUCACCCGAGAACCACA